rnacentral:rRNA from 1 species
UACGUAGGGGGCAAGCGUUGUCCGGAAUCAUUGGGCGUAAAGAGCGUGUAGGCGGUCCGGUAAGUCGGCUGUGAAAGUCCAGGGCUCAACCCUGGGAUGCCGGUCGAUACUGCCGGACUAGAGUGCGGUAGAGGGUAGUGGAAUUCCCGGUGUAGCGGUGAAAUGCGUAGAGAUCGGGAGGAACACCAGUGGCGAAGGCGGCUACCUGGACCAGCACUGACACUGAGGCACGGAAAGCGUGGGGAGCAAACAGG